AUCUUGUCACCCUUGUCAAACAUAAUUUGAUCGCAUGGGUGAGGGUUAAUGUCUGGGCUCUCAAUUCUGUUUCCAUUGGUCAAUAUGUCUGUCUUUAUGCCAUGACAAUGCUGUUUUGAUACAGUAGAUUUGUAGUAAGUUUUCAAUUAGGAAGAAUCAGUCCUCCAACUUACUACCUCCUUUCAAGAUUAUUUUUGGUAUCUGGGCUUACUUGAGAUUCCAUAAGAAUCUUAGGAUGGGUUUUUUUCUAUUUUAGCACAAAAUGUCCUUGGGAUUUUGAUAAGGACUGCACUGGAUUUGUUGAUCUCUUUGGAUAAUGUUGACAUCGUCAGAAUAAGGAGUCCUCCAAUCCAUGAUCACGUGACGUGCUUCUCAGGACAGGAGGAGCCGCCUCAAGGGAAGACAGAUCUUCUCCAGGAGCUGAAGUUCAUCCAAGGAGAGCAGAGUCUAGGGCUGCAGAGCGCCACUGCUCUCCAUCUCAGGGACAAGUCGGUCUCCAACCCCUCUCCCCCUCCCGGCUGGCCCCCAGCGGUUCCCAUUGUAUCCUCGGAGGCCCGCGCAUGCGCAGGACCGGCGCUCAUAGCAGCAGAGGCGCCAGCGAGCUGGAGAGCCCCAGGCGCGCGCACUGGAGGCGGGGUCCCUGGUGGGGAGGUGGUGCUGCAGGGGUUUGUGUGGUGGGAAUUGGCGGUUUCUGGAUCCUUUCUCCAGGAUUUUCAGCGCUGGGGAGCUCUCCUUUCUACAGUGUGGAGGAGCGCUGGGCAGGAGGCAGCGCUGAGCACACGUGUGGAGGACUCCCUAGAAUGGACACCUGCCUCUGAGUGGAUUGCUGGGCCAGAGGCUGACGUGCAUCUGAAACUUGACGAGCUGCAGCCAAAUCAUCCUCUGAAGUUUUAACAAUUUCCAUUCCCGCCAACAGUGUCUGAGUCAUCCUUGCCCUGGGAAUUGUCAGGUCAGCAUUGUCAGAUUUUUAAAGUUUUGCCAAUCUGAUGAGUGAGAAAUGAUGUAUUUGUUUUCCUCUUUGUACAACUGUUUUGACAAAUUCAUAGAGCUGUGCAACUACCAAAAUUGAGAUACAGAACAGUUCCAGCACCCAGAACUCCCUUCAGCUGCUCUUUUGUAGUCAUCUCUUCCCCCACCCUUAACCCCUGGUGACUAAUGAUCUGUUGUCUUUCCCUAUGGUUUGUCUUUUGUAGAAUAUCAUAUAAAUGGAAUCCUACAGUAUUUGGCCUUUUGAGUCUGGAUUCUUUCAUUUAGCACAAUACAUUGAUUUGAGUGUUCA